rnacentral:misc_RNA from 1 species
GUGAGUCAUCGAAUCUUUGAACGCACCUUGCGCUCCUUGGUAUUCCGAGGAGCAUGCCUGUUUGAGUGUCAUGGAAUUCUCAACCCACACGUCCUUGUGAUGUUGCGGGCUUGGAUUUGGAGGCUUGCUGGCCCUCUGCGGUCGGCUCCUCUUGAAUGCAUUAGCUUGAUUCCGUGCGGAUCGGCUCUCAGUGUGAUAAUUGUCUACGCUGUGACCGUGAAGCGUUUGGCGAGCUUCUAACCGUCCUGUAUGGGACAACUUCUUGACAUCUGACCUCAAAUCAGGUAGGACUACCCGCUGAACUUAAGCAUAUCAAUAAGCGGAGGA